GCCCGAGAAGCCACCCAAGGGCCACAAGCCGCCCCACCACCACCACCACGCCAAGCCUCCGGCUGGCUCCCACAAGCCGGCGCCUCCCACGGCCACUCCUCCCACGCCGGCGUACAAGCCACCCACGGCCACGCCUCCGGCUCCGACGCCACCGAAGUACACUCCGUCCCCGAAGCCACCGACGCCUAAGCCCACACCACCCACGUAUACCCCGACCCCGAAGCCGCCCACUCCCACACCAAAGCCCACGCCGCCAACGUACAAGCCGGCACCCAAGCCCACUCCUCCCACGUAUAAGCCCACACCCAAGCCCUCGCCGCCGACGUACCCGCCGAAGCCAACACCACCCACCUACAAGCCGGCGCCGAAGCCGACUCCCCCGACCUACAAGCCGGCGCCGAAGCCGACACCGCCCACCUACAAGCCCGCGCCGAAGCCGACGCCCCCGACCUACAAGCCGGACCCCAAGCCGACUCCCCCGACGUACAAGCCCGCGCCGAAGCCGGCCCCCAAGCCUACGCCCCCGAACUACAAGCCGGCGCCGAAGCCGACGCCGCCGU
rnacentral:lncRNA from 1 species